UACGUAGGGUGCGAGCGUUAAUCGGAAUUACUGGGCGUAAAGUGUGCGCAGGCGGCCGAGCAAGUCGAGUGUGAAAGCCCCGGGCUUAACUUGGGAAUUGCGCUCGAAACUACUUGGCUGGAGUGUGGCAGAGGAAGGUGGAAUUCCAGGUGUAGCGGUGAAAUGCGUAGAGAUGUGGAGGAACACCGAUGGCGAAGGCAGCCUCCUGGGCCAAUACUGACGCUCAUGCACGAAAGCGUGGGGAGCAAACAGG
rnacentral:rRNA from 1 species